AUGCUUCCGCCGCCUUCAACCUUCACGACCACACAACCUUUUCGUUCCACUGUGAACAACACCACAGACCCAACCUUCCAUUUCAAUUUUCGACCAGCCACUGCUCCAAACAACAACAACAACGACAUUUCUCUAUCACCAUCUUGGAUUUUUGAAAGAAAGAAAAAGAAGAAGGUUGGAAGAAGAGAGGAAGGGAAUCAAGAGAAAGGAAAAAUUAACUCCUUGUUACAAGUGCCAGCCGCUUCCAUUGGGACCUUAUCAGGUUUCCUUUAUUUUUUAUUAUUUCAAUUGUAUAUAUUAUUAAAUCAUAAUUGA